GCCCGGUUAGCAUAAAAGUAAUGUAUCCGUUUUGUAAUCGGAAUAAACAAGUGCGAUACUUGUACUGGGCU
rnacentral:tRNA from 13 species